CAGUAGCCGCGGUAAUGCGAAGGGGGCUAGCGUUGCUCGGAAUGACUGGGCGUAAAGGGCGCGUAGGCGGUUUGUACAGUUGGAUGUGAAAUUCCUGGGCUUAACCUGGGGGCUGCAUUCAAUACGUGCAGGCUUGAGUGUGGAAGAGGGUUGUGGAAUUCCCAGUGUAGAGGUGAAAUUCGUAGAUAUUGGGAAGAACACCGGUGGCGAAGGCGGCGACCUGGUCCUUUACUGACGCUGAGGCGCGAAAGCGUGGGGAGCAAACAGGAUUAGAUACCCCCGUAGUCCCUGUCUCUUAUAC
rnacentral:rRNA from 1 species